rnacentral:rRNA from 1 species
AUUGAACGCUGGCGGCAGGCCUAACACAUGCAAGUAGAACGAGUGGCGGACGGGUGAGUAAUGUCUGGGAAACUGACUGAUGGAGAGGGAGAACUACUGGAAACGGUAGCUAAUACCGCAUACCAUCGGAUGUGCCCAGAUGGGAUUAGCUAGUGGGUGGGGUAAAGUAUCACCUAGGCGACGAUCCCUAGCUGGUCUGAGAGGAUUACCGGCCAACAUGGAACUGAGCCACGGUCCAGACGCCUACGGGAGGCAGCAGUGGGGAAUAUUGCACAAUGGGCGCAAGCCUUAUGCAGCCAUGCCGCGGGUAUGAAGAAGGCCUGCGGGUUGUAAAGUACUUUCAGCGAGGAGGCGUUACUCGCAGAAGAAGCACCGGCUAACUCCGUGCCAGCAGCCGCGGUAAUUC